rnacentral:rRNA from 1 species
GAUGAACGCUGGCGGCGUGCCUAAUACAUGCAAGUCGAGCGAACGGACGAGAAGCUUGCUUCUCUGAUGUUAGCGGCGGACGGGUGAGUAACACGUGGAUAACCUACCUAUAAGACUGGGAUAACUUCGGGAAACCGGAGCUAAUACCGGAUAAUAUUUUGAACCGCAUGGUUCAAAAGUGAAAGACGGUCUUGCUGUCACUUAUAGAUGGAUCCGCGCUGCAUUAGCUAGUUGGGAAGGUAAAGGCUUACCAAGGCAACUAUGCAUAGACGACCUGAGAGGGGGGUCGGCCACACGAGAACUGAGACAGGGUCCAUGCUACUACGGGAGGCAGCAGUAGGGAAUCUUCGGCAAUGGGCGAAAGCCUGACGGAGCAACGCCGAGUGAGUGAUGAAGGUCUUCGGAUCGGAAAACUCUGUUAUUAGGGAAGAACAUAUGUGGAAGGAACUGUGCCCAUCUUGACGGUACCUAAUCAGAAAGCCACGGCUAACUACGUG